rnacentral:lncRNA from 1 species
AUGCAAUUAUCCCUCCCAUUAGCUCAGAUCCAGGCCCUGGGAAGAAGCUCAGGCUGGGAAGGGCUGCAGCUGGAAACCAUCUCUUGGGUUCCAUUCAGCCAGGAGGGAGAUUUUCUUUUGCUGUCACUCAGGGUUCAGGGGCAGGUCCUGGAUCACGACCCAAUCAGAGGCAUGGGGUGGGGCUUCAGGAACUGUCCAAUCAGGAACGCAGCUGGAAGACGGCGGGAACCUUUCGCUUUUGAACAGCUUCCUUCCUGGAGCCACCAUAGUAGGUGUGUCGCAGGUGUUGGGAAGAGAUCUUCUAAGUGGCUCAGCCUCCUCGCUGUGACAUCUCCGUUCUACAGGCUGAGGCGACCCCGGGAACCCUAGAAGGCAGGGAAUGGUGAGUGUGGAGGGACCCAGGCCUCCGGCGGCAGCUGCGGCGA